rnacentral:rRNA from 1 species
UCGAACGGACUCAUAUUGAAACCUAGUGAUUUAUGAGUUAGUGGCGGACGGGUGAGUAACGCGUGGAUAACCUGCCGUAUACCGGGGGAUAACACUUAGAAAUAGGUGCUAAUACCGCAUAAGCGCACGGCUCCGCAUGGGGCAGUGUGAAAAACUCCGGUGGUAUACGAUGGAUCCGCGUCUGAUUAGCUAGUUGGCGGGGUAACGGCCCACCAAGGCAGCGAUCAGUAGCCGGCCUGAGAGGGUGGACGGCCACAUUGGGACUGAGACACGGCCCAAACUCCUACGGGAGGCAGCAGUGGGGAAUAUUGCACAAUGGGGGAAACCCUGAUGCAGCGACGCCGCGUGAGUGAAGAAGUAUCUCGGUACGUAAAGCUCUAUCAGCAGGGAAGAAAAUGACGGUACCUGACUAAGAAGCCCCGGCUAACUACGUGCCAGCAGCCGCGGUAAUACGUAGGGGGCAAGCGUUAUCCGGAUUUACUGGGUGUAAAGGGAGCGUAGACGGCAGCACAAGUCUGGAGUGAAAUCCCGGGGCUU